rnacentral:tRNA from 1 species
CAAAAUGUAGUUUAACUAAAACCCCUCGCUUACACCGAGACAAUAUCUAAUAAAUAUAGAUCANNNGGA